rnacentral:rRNA from 1 species
CACCUACGGGAGGCUGCAGUCGAGGAUCUUCGGCAAUGGGCGCAAGCCUGACCGAGCGACGCCGCGUGUGCGAUGAAGGCCUUCGGGUUGUAAAGCACUGUCGAGGGGGAGAAAAGCCCGUAAGGGUCUGAUCUAUCCCUGGAGGAAGCACGGGCUAAGUUCGUGCCAGCAGCCGCGGUAAGACGAACCGUGCGAACGUUGUUCGGAUUCACUGGGCUUAAAGGGCGCGUAGGCGGCUCUUCAAGUCGGGGGUGAAAUCCUCUCGCUUAACGAGAGAAUUGCCUUCGAUACUGGAGAGCUGGAGGGAGAUAGGGGUGCGCGGAACUUCCGGUGGAGCGGUGAAAUGCGUAGAUAUCGGAAGGAACGCCGGUGGCGAAAGCGGCGCACUGGAUCUCUACUGACGCUGAGGCGCGAAAGCCAGGGGAGCAAACGGGAUUAGAUACCCCGGUAGUCCUGGCCCUAAACGAUGGGUACUAGGUAGUGGACUUGCAUGGGUUCCCUGCCGGAGAGAAAUUCUUAAGUACCC